GAUGUAAAUAGAAAAUAAUUUGUGAAAACUUUUGGUUUCAGAAUGUCCCCGCGGCAAGUUUACACAUAGUAAAAAUUCUAACAAGGAAUCGUACAGAGGAAACUAAUCUAGUUAAAAGGCUUUCAUGUGAAUUAUUUUUCUGCUCACCAACACGUGACAAAUCUGGAAUAAACACAAGGUAUAUUUUUUUAGAAGUAAACAGAUUUUUCAAACGGUCGACAGAAAACAGAACAGAUAUUUCAAAUGGGAGAUUUCGGGAUGAAUGAAAAAAAUCAUCAUCUGCCUUCCUGAUGUAUUCUUACUGUUUUGCUUCCAAGUUUCGGCAUCUUCAAUAUUGUGGUUUGAUGUAGCAUUACUGCAGGCCAGAGAAUGGGCUACAUAGCAAUCUUCUGAAGGUGUGGUGCUCCUACCAAGACCCCCGGCAUGCUUUUGUAAAGCAUUUCUACCUUCAGCGGCCUUCUUUAAUCGCGAGAUGACACUUUUUGAUACACCCAUUGCAGCAGCUACAGUGGUGACACUUAGACCUGCUUCCAGUCGUCUAACCACUCGUCCACGAUCGUAGUGACUGAUGAUGAUGAAAGAGUCUCACCCUGAAAACGUUUUUCGGCUGCACUGUAACCAGUUGCAUGUAACAUCCCUGCCUCUGGUCCGUCGAAAGAUUGACAUUCAACUAUGAAGACCAGCAGUGAUCGCUUAGUCGUGGUUUGAAACAUAUUGUGCCGGGGCACACCCGCCAUUUCUUUUAUUUUUGUGAUGGAAAGAAAACAUCCAAAGAGCCCCACAAAACUUGUAUCCAUGUUCUGCAAAGGCCCUUCAGACUGAUUAUGAAAUAUUCACUGAUGUCUUUUCAAGCGUCUUCCUGUUAGCUUAGAGUAAACGCUGAGCGCAAAAGCUACUGUGUAUGAAAAGGAACUGCUGUUUUAAAAUAAGUUCAAGAAUUUGGUGUCAAGAAAUCAAAAAUUGUAAUGCUUAAAAUAGUGACCAAGGUCCAAGGAAUUUAUUGUAUUAUUGUUUUCUGCUUAAAUAUGUGCUAAAUAUGUAUUUUCUUUUGAAAUAAAAUCUAGAGGAACCCAAGCACUGGGGCGAGGGAAAGGACGAUUGCUUUCCCUCAUCCCCUGAUGAGUAAAAGGUAAGUGACGCACAAGUCUUUUUUGUUAUCUUGAAGACUGUCGAGAUAAAUUGUAAUCCCCGUUUGUAAGACAUAGAUCGAGGCAGUAUUUUUUCUGCGGAAGAAUGUUUGCUAUAAAACAGAAAUGAUAAUUUUGAAUGAAUCCUUUUCCAAAAUUUCUCAACAAAUUAAUAUUAAUAACUGCAUAAUAUUCGUCUAUUCUUUAAAAAAAAAAAAAAGAAAGUUUUGUGUCUAUACUAAUUCGCAUUUUUCUACUUCAGUAGUAUCAAAUGCGUCUGAUACUCAUUUGAGCCGUUACACAAUUAAUGUUUUUUGCUUAUAAAUAAUUAAGAUUUAAUUCUAGUUUGUAUCAUAAGAGCCUGAAUUAUAUUUCAUUUACCAGCAAAAAAGCUUAUUUUUUUCGUCGAGACAAAGGAAAUUGUUGAGGUUUAAGUAACGCAAUCCCCCUGAUUUAAAGGCAAAACAGGAAUAUCACUCAGGGAAGCUUACCAGGAAACAUCACGAUCAAGGAAAUUCAAAAGAUUUCCAAAUUGGUGGCAUUCGAAAGAGCAUUGGAAAACAUGCUUAUGGCACUCAAACUACGUGCCCUCGUGACCACGUUAUCGAAAUAUGAUGUCUUAAAAAUUGCCGAAAUUUUUAGUAAAGUCGCCAAAUUUAGCGAGUUUUGUUCAGAAAUGGAAGGUACGGCGCGAAUUCAACAUCUGCAUCUGACAAGACAUUUCACUUCCAUAUUUGGUCACCACCAAAGCGCGUGAGAAAUAUCGCAUUAAUUCUUUACUCGGGGUGACUACCAUGGCGCGGGGUGUCGUGGCACAGACUGCGCAUUGAAAUUUUUAGGGGCUUGUGUUCCGGGAUAUUAACGUGCAACUGUAUAGGGGAAAACGCCAGAGCCCGAAAUAUUUGUUUUAUUUUAUUGUAAAAACCAUGGAAUUUUUUCAUUAUUCUUAAGACUGUCUGUUAAAAAAGUGAUGUUUAAAACUUUUAUGCUUCUGCGGGUGAAAUAUUUCCACUGAAAGAGUUUAUUCGAUGAUGAAACUGUUUUAAAAAAAAUAUGAUAACCGUAGAGA